rnacentral:rRNA from 1 species
UACAGAGGGGGCAAGCGUUGUUCGGAAUUACUGGGCGUAAAGGGCGCGUAGGCGGCCUUCUACGUCGAACGUGAAAUCCCUGGGCUCAACCCAGGAACUGCGUCCGAUACUGGAAGGCUUGAAUCCGGGAGAGGGAUGCGGAAUUCCAGGUGUAGCGGUGAAAUGCGUAGAUAUCUGGAGGAACACCGGUGGCGAAGGCGGCAUCCUGGACCGGUAUUGACGCUGAGGCGCGAAAGCCAGGGGAGCAAACGGG